rnacentral:rRNA from 1 species
CGAUCAGUUCCGUAGUGACCUGCGGAAGGAUCAUUACCGAAGUUGAUUCGGGCUCCGGCCCGAUCCUCCCACCCUUUGUGUACCUACCUCUGUUGCUUUGGCGGGCCGCGGUCCCCCGCGGCCGCCCCCCCUCCCCGGGGGGUGGCUAGUGCCCGCCAGAGGACCAUCAAACUCCAGUCAGUGAACGUCGCAGUCUGAAAAAACAUUCAAUAAACUAAAACUUUCAACAACGGAUCUCUUGGUUCUGGCAUCGAUGAAGAACGCAGCGAAAUGCGAUAAGUAAUGUGAAUUGCAGAAUUCAGUGAAUCAUCGAAUCUUUGAACGCACAUUGCGCCCCUUGGUAUUCCGAGGGGCAUGCCUGUUCGAGCGUCAUUACAACCCUCAAGCUCUGCUUGGUAUUGGGCACCGCCCUUCUUCGGGCGCGCCUCAAAGACCUCGGCGGUGGCUGUCUUGCCUCAAGCGUAGUAGAAUACACCUCGCUUCGGAGCGCAGGGCGUCGCCCGCCGGACGAACCUUCUGAACUUUUCUCAAGGUUGACCUCGGAUCAGGUAGGGAUACCCGCUGAACUUAAGCAUACU